rnacentral:rRNA from 1 species
CGGGAUGAGCUCAAAUUUGAAAUCUGGCUGGUUUACUAGUCCGAGUUGUAAUUUAAAGAAGCGUUUUCGGUGGCAGCCUGGGUAUAAAUCCUUUGGAAUAGGGUAUCAUAGAGGGUGAGAAUCCCGUAUGUGAC